GGGUCAGUAGGUUGGUCGUGCCACCGGUACGUACUGGUCUUACUGAUUCCUCCUUCCUGAAGAACCGUAAUGCCAUUAAGUUGGUGUUGCGGGGAAACAGGACUGUUACUUUGAAAAAAUUAGAGUGUUUAAAGCAAGCUAACGCUUGAAUACAUUAGCAUGGAAUAAUGAAGUAGGACGAUCGAUCCUAUUUUGUUGGUUUCUGGGAUUGACGUA
rnacentral:rRNA from 1 species